GGGGAGGUGCCUGAGUGGCCAAAAGGAGCGGACUGUAGAUCCGUCGGCUGAAUAGCCUUCGUAGGUUCGAAUCCUACCCUCCCCACCA
rnacentral:tRNA from 1 species